rnacentral:rRNA from 1 species
UACGUAGGGUGCAAGCGUUGUCCGGAAUUAUUGGGCGUAAAGAGCUCGUAGGCGGUCUGUCGCGUCUGCUGUGAAAACUCGGGGCUUAACCCCGGGCCUGCAGUGGGUACGGGCAGACUAGAGUGCGGUAGGGGAGACUGGAAUUCCUGGUGUAGCGGUGAAAUGCGCAGAUAUCAGGAGGAACACCGGUGGCGAAGGCGGGUCUCUGGGCCGUAACUGACGCUGAGGAACGAAAGCUAGGGGAGCAAACAGG